rnacentral:lncRNA from 1 species
AGGGGCAAGAGGUCACCAAAUAUCUAUUGAGUGCUUGCUCUGUGAUCUGGCAGACAACUCAAAGGCACAGAGAUGAAGAUGAAACACACCAUGGAGCCAGGGAAGGGCCUGGAUGCUGUGGGAAACACUACAACAGAUAAGAUCCAACAAAUAUAUUAAGAGGCUGCGAUGACCAGACCAUUUAUGGAUACAAGAUAAAUGACAGACAUAGCACUACCACUACAGAUUGCAGGAAGAAGGUCUUUUCAAGAAGUGGUGCCAGAACAAUCUGGAAAUAAAAGAUUUAUACUUCCCAUUAAACACAAACAUCAAUUCUAGCCCCCAAGGACUGGGAUCAAUAUUGGAAACCUGUGCUUUAGUUCUUCCACCUCUGCUGCUGCUAUGCUGUGUGACCUCAGGCUUCUCCUUUCCCCUCCCGUCUAUUCUCCAAGCACCUAUUGCCUCCAAGAUGGGCUCUAGACUGUAAGAGCCUUGUCCUUCACUCUCCCAGUAGCCCCCAGGCCUUUGAAAACAGCCAGGCAGACCCCCUCACCUGCUGCUCACAUGGCAUCCUGUGGUGGCCCACGAAGCCCCAGUGACCUGCUGCCUGGCUGCCUCCCUCCACGGCUCUAACCUCUGUCCCCUUGGCACCAGCUCACUAUGAGGUCCUCCCUAUUCCUUAAGACCAAGCUCCAGCCUCUUCAAAAACAGCACAUCUCUCUCUGACACAGCCACUCUCCCUUUAUCCUGUGUAUUCCUUCACAGCUCCCCUCCCCAUCUGCAACCACACUCUGAUUGUUACGACUUUGCUCGUUCCCCUCUCUGGAAUAAAAAUGGUAAAACUCUGUCUCUUAUUCAUGACCAUUUAUCCACAACCUAGAACUGCUCCUGGCAAUGAAGAGGCUCGCCAC